rnacentral:rRNA from 1 species
UAAAAACCCCGACUUCGGAAGGGGUGUAUUUAUUAGAUACAAAACCAAUGCCCUUCGGGGCUCUUUGGUGAUUCAUGAUAACUAUACGAAUCGCACGGCCUUGCGCCGGCGAUGGUUCAUUCAAAUUUCUUCCCUAUCAACUUUCGAUGUUUGGGUAUUGGCCAAACAUGGUUGCAACGGGUAACGGAGGGUUAGGGCUCGACCCCGGAGAAGGAGCCUGAGAAACGGCUACUACAUCCAAGGAAGGCAGCAGGCGCGCAAAUUACCCAAUCCCGACUCGGGGAGGUAGUGACAAUAAAUACUGAUACAGGGCCCUUUCGGGCCUUGUAAUUGGAAUGAGUACAAUUUAAAUCCCUUAACGAGGAACAAUUGGAGGGCAAGUCUGGUGCCAGCAGCCGCGGUAAUUCCAGCUCCAAUAGCGUAUAUUAAAGUUGUUGUGGUUAAAAAGCUCGUAGUUGAACCUUGGGCCUGGCUGGCCGGUCCGCCUCACCGCGUGCACUGGUCCGGCCGGGCCUUUCCCUCUGUGGAACCCCAUACCCUUCACUGGGCGUGGCGGGGGGACACAGACAUUUACUU